rnacentral:rRNA from 1 species
AUUGAACGCUGGCGGCAUGCCUUACACAUGCAAGUCGAACGGUAACGGGCCUUCGGGUGCCGACGAGUGGCGAACGGGUGAGUAAUACAUCGGAACGUGCCCGAUCGUGGGGGAUAACGAGGCGAAAGCUUUGCUAAUACCGCAUACGAUCUACGGAUGAAAGCAGGGGGCCGCAAGGCCUUGCGCGGACGGAGCGGCCGCUGGCAGGUUAGGUAGUUGGUGGGAUAAAAGCUUACCAAGCCGACGAUCGGUAGCUGGACUGAGAGGAUGAUCAGCAACACUGGGACGGAGACACGGCCCAGACUCCUACGGGAGGCAGCAGUGGGGAAUGUUGGACGAAGGGCGCAAGCCUGAUCCAGCCAUGCCGCGUGCAGGAUGAAGGCCUUCGGGUUGUAAACUGCUUUUGAACGGAACGAAAAGCCUUCUUUUAAUACAGGAGGGUCAUGACGGUACCGAAAGAAUAAGCACCGGCUAACUACGUG